rnacentral:rRNA from 1 species
CUACGGGUUGCAGCAGUGAGGAAUAUUGCGCAAUGGACGAAAGUCUGACGCAGCGACGCCGCGUGGAGGAUGAAGGUCUUCGGAUUGUAAACUUCUGUUAAACGGGAAAAAAGAGCUCUUGGGAAUAUCAAGAGAAGAUGAUGGUACCGUUAAAGAAAGCACCGGCUAAACUCGUGCCAGCAGCCGCGGUAAUACGAGGGGUGCUAGCGUUAUUCGGAUUUACUAGGCGUAAAGGGUAUGUAGGCGGUUUCUUAAGUCAGUUAGUAAAUCCCUUGGCUUAACCAAGGAAGUGUAAUUGAAACUGGGAAGCUAGAGGAUGGAAGAGAGAAGUGGAAUUCUCGGAGUAGCGGUAAAAUGCGUAGAUCUCGAGAGGAACACCGAUGGCGAAGGCAGCUUCUUGGUCCAUAUCUGACGCUGAAAUACGAAAGCGUGGGGAGCAAACAGGAUUAGAUACCCCUGUAGUC